rnacentral:lncRNA from 1 species
GAACGUUUCGUGUGCGUCGGUGACCGGGAACAGCAGCCCAGUUGCUCGUUCAUCUGGAGAGUUGGGAUUUGGGUGUUCCGGCCCCGGAGAUCGGAGCCUGAAUCCAAGAAUCUGGAACACGUUUAUAUGUGAAAUAUCCGCGAUCAUUUCAGCUAAAUGAGGAAGGUCACUACCAUAUGACAAAGGCUUUGCCGCAGUUCAUCUUCCUCUCUGUGUACUUUCCAUUUGCCUUCUUGG